rfam:Terrisporobacter sp. 08-306576 Contig099, whole genome shotgun sequence.
AAGUCUUUUAAAAUAGUCCAGAGAGGCUGAUAAAGAUAACACAUAACUAAUACUAAUUAUAUUGUUUAGAUUAUGCAUACACAAUCCUUAUACCUCUUUUGGUGUAAGGAUUUUUUUAA